rnacentral:tRNA from 1 species
GAGGGUACAGCUCAGUGGUAGAGUGUGUGCUUAGCAUGCACGAGGUCCUAGGUUCAAUCCCCAGUACUUCCA